rnacentral:rRNA from 1 species
GAUGAACGCUGGCGGCGUGCCUAACACAUGCAAGUCGAACGGUAAACCACUUCGAAGGGGCUCAUUGGCGUACGGGUGGGUGACACGGUGGCAACUUGCUCCCGGCCCUGGGAUAACUCCAAGAUAUCGGGGCUAAUACCGCAUUUUCACCGCUUCCCGCAUGGGGGGUGGUGCAAAGGGUCUCCGGCUUGUGAUGGGCUCGCGGCCUAUUAGCCUGUUGGUGGGGUAGGGGGCCACCAGGGCGACGACGGGGAGGCGGCCUGAGAGGGUGACCCGCCACACUGGAACGGAGACACGGUCCAGACGCCGACGGGAGGCAGCAGUGGGGAAUAGUCGACAAUGGGCGAAAGCCUGAUGCAGCCAUGCCGCGUGGGUGAAGAAGGCCUUCGGGUCGGAAAGCCCUUUUAUUAGGAAAGAAAAGAAGCAGGAGAAUACACGGCCGUUCUGACGGUACCCAAAGAAUAAGCACCGGCUAACUUCGUG